rnacentral:rRNA from 1 species
GAUGAACGCUGGCGGCGUGCUUAACACAUGCAAGUCGAACGAUGAAGCCCAGCUUGCUGGGUGGAUUAGUGGCGAACGGGUGAGUAACACGUGAGUAACCUGCCCUUGACUCUAGGAUAAGCCCGGGAAACUGGGUCUAAUACUGGAUAGGAACGUCUACCGCAUGGUGGGUGUUGGAAAGAAUUUCGGUCAUGGAUGGACUCGCGGCCUAUCAGCUUGUUGGUGAGGUAAUGGCUCACCAAGGCGACGACGGGUAGCCGGCCUGAGAGGGUGACCGGCCACACUGGGACUGAGACACGGCCCAGACUCCUACGGGAGGCAGCAGUGGGGAAUAUUGCACAAUGGGCGAAAGCCUGAUGCAGCGACGCCGCGUGAGGGAUGACGGCCUUCGGGUUGUAAACCUCUUUCAGUAGGGAAGAAGCGAAAGUGACUGUACCUGCAGAAGAAGCACCGGCUAACUACGUG